UAAUGCAUAGACAGACACUCAAGCACUGACUUUUAGUUGUAGUAAGUGCCUCAGAGAACACUGGAGAUCUGGAAAGGAGUUCUGAAGAAAUAACACCAAUUUCUGAAGAGUGAGUAGAACGGGUGGAGCAAGAGCUGACAAGUCCCAAGUUAUAGAGUGUGAGGAAAGGGGAAGAACUCAAUUCAAGUUGUAAUUAGCCAGAUUUAUGAAAACUCCAAGUAGGGUGACGGCCUUAAAGCCAAAUCAAAGGCAUGCUACCAGCAAGAGGUUAAGGAAAGGAUUUUUGAAGAUGGAGAUGGCAAUUAUCUUGCUUCUGUGGAGUGGAACCUGUAGCUGUGUAGGAAACUACUUAAAUCCCCUCAGCUAUGUGAGGUGCUGUCUCUUUCCCCUUGUUCACAGCUAUGAAGGAGAUGCCUCUGUAUACAGUGAUAAGCAGGUUUACAGAAGCCGGAGCAAGCUGUUGAUCAUCUCACAGCAGUUACACCAUUCUGUGGAGUUUACUAGUUCAUCUUUCAGAAAUUUAGGGCAGAGGCCAAUAGACACCAAGGAGGCACCUGGUACAGAUUAUAAUUUCCUUAACCAUCACAAUGGCACACAAAGGUUUUAAGGAAAGAUGUAGCAAAUUGAAAGAACAGAAUAAUUGGUCUAGUACAGAGGAGAAUGAUGGAGGUAGGGCAGACAAAGACCGGAUUUUGGAGCAUUAGGGAUUUGAGCUUAUUGUAAGAACCGGGAAGACCGAAAGGUCAAUAGAGCCUUAAGCUGUGGAAGCACUAUAUCAGUAGCAAAUAUCAGUAGCAGCACUAACAGAGCUCAGCUUUGUGGGAAACCAAGAUUUGGUUCUGAAGUGGAAGGAGGUUGCAAAGGAAGGCGUAAAUUCUAAAACAAAGGAGAGGACCCAGCAGUACUCAGGAUUCUGAGACAGGAAGAUCAUGAAUUUGAUGCCAGCCCAGGCUACACAGAACCUGUAUUUAAAAAAAAAAAA
rnacentral:lncRNA from 1 species